GACGAACGCUGGCGGCGUGCCUAACACAUGCAAGUCGAGCGGAGAUUGCAGUAAUGUAAUCUUAGCGGCGGACGGGUGAGUAACGCGUGGGCAACCUGCCUAUAACUGGGGGAUAACACAGGGAAACUUGUGCUAAUACCGCAUAACAUCAUGAAAGGACAUCCUUUUAUGAUCAAAGGAGCAAUCCGGUGAUAGAUGGGCCCGCGUCCGAUUAGCUAGUUGGUGAGGUAAUGGCCCACCAAGGCGACGAUCGGUAGCCGAACUGAGAGGUUGAUCGACCACAUUGGGACUGAGACACGGCCCAGACUCCUACGGGAGGCAG
rnacentral:rRNA from 1 species